GUUCGUCAGAGGGGAGCAGCGAUGUCGGCCGACGUUGGAGAGCGUGAUUGAAGGGCUUCCGAGAAUUCUCCGGCUUUGUUGUGCAGCUUCCUCGGAGCAGCAGUCAGAGGUAAUGGCUUUAGCAGGGGCAGGUACACAAAGCUCCAGUGGCCACAAACCGGAGCUGGACAAACUUUACUGUUGACAUCUGGAAUUUCUUUCCUCUCUUUGCUUUUUUAUUCUCUUCCUUCUCUUCUUCCUCUCUUCCCCCCGCCGUUUUGAUUGAGGGCUGACUCGCUCGGAACAGAAUCCGUCAUCGUAAAAGCGUCAGCCGGCUAAAUUUAGACAUUUGUUUUCUGGUGCCUGCUCUGGCUCUGCAUGUUUUACCACACAUGAUAUCAUGCCCUCCUGUGCUGCCGGUCUGACCGCACUCUGAACCCCUGAAUGGUUUCUCUGGUUUACAUACACAUGCGGUAAUUAUCAUAAUGGAGGCUGUCACCAGCAAUUUAUCUCCCAUCACAGAUAAUUUACAUCUUAUCAUAUCCUCGUCUACUGUGGUUUCUGACAGUGCAGACUGUGCAUUAACCCGACAUUACUCUGACUGAAAACCCAGAAAUGCAGCGCUCACAUCCUCAUUAUAAAGCGCAGAAUGUCACUGCCAAUCCAUAACAUGCUUUGGCUUGUGUCAGCUGGAUAUUCUGCUCUUAGUAUUUCCACUGUGAGGGCAUUUCUGUGCUCAAACUCAAGGUAGUUUCCAUCCUGCGGUGAUAAACUUAAAUCUUGGAUGUUGGUCCUUUUUGUUUACGACUCUUUUUAGAUGAAUUCACAGAAUUUACCCGCAAAAAUACGGUAACCCGCAGUGUUAUAAAUAUGCCUCAAAAACAGUCGCACAUUUAGGAAUAAAUCGGUUUCAAGUCCUGCAGUUUAAUAAAAUAUCUAAUGAUAGAGGGAGUCAUUUUUAAGGCUAGAGAGAGACAGAGAGAGCACAUCUGGAAUUUCUUUCCUCUCUUUGCUUUUUUCAGAGAGGAAUUACGUUUGCAUGUUAAUGGAUGAUAAUUGUGAGGUCACAAAAAUAUCUUCUCAUUUCACUUCUUAUAUCAGACUUUUCCUGGAGAUUUCCAACAUGUUUCUUGCUCAGCAGACGGAGAUUUGCUUAGUUGUUAAAGAAACUGAUUUAUUAAGCUUGGGAGUUAAAACAUCCAAAGAAAACAUGGCGAACUUUAUCCAGCGAGGACCUGCUGAUGGGAUUCAAAGCUGUGAGCUUAGCCUCUAAUUAGAUAUGUGAAUUGGGACUUUUUAUCUAAUCUAUAAAAUCAAAACUAUCACAGAAUCUAAGAUUGGUGGAGAACGUCUAACCUGACCGCAGAGAAAAAAGAGGGUUAGAAGACAAACACACAAGCAGCUGCAGAGUGAGAGAGACAUCUAAGAAAUCAACACAAACAGGAAGUUCUUCACAUGUAAAUGUUCAUCACUGACACAGACACAGUUCGUCUCCGCCUGUUUGCAUGGUGUGAAAUACGAUCCGCCUGAAACACGGAGUGUUUUAUUUUGAAAAGAAGCCGGAUGUUUUAUUUUGUGUCUGUGCCCGACUCCCUUUCCAGCACGGGCUAAUCUGUGCUGAAUUUAUCUGCCAUGCUCCGGCGUCCCCAAAAAAAAUAGAACUUUUGCGAUCAGCUGUGGAGUCCGGCGAUGCGCAGAGGAACGGAAAGAAGUCGGUGGAAAUUGACACGUUAACUUAAAUGGUUACGAUCAGCUACGAUUGGCGGAUACGGCCUUUCCGUAGACGUUCCAGAUGUUGUGGAAAUCGGGGGUUAUAUGUGCAGCAAAGCCAAAUAACAGUAUCUCACACACACAAAGUUUACAGUACAGCCUGUGCGUGUUUUGUACUUUUGAAUGUCAUUUUCUUAACAUGUACACACACACACACACACACACACACACACACACACACACACACACACACACUCGCAUUAAACUGUGUAGACAGUCAGGAUGCUGCUGCACAGACAGGACUUCCUUAUUUUACUCUCUUGUCCUCCAUUUUUCAUCUCUUCAUUUAUGGAAUCAUGUGAGGAGAGGGUUCACCUGAACAAUGUCAGUCUCCUGUCUACCUGCAGCUCUUCCACUGAACUAAAGCCCUGCUGAUAAGUUAUGUGCUAAACUGUCUGUAACACCAUGACAGUGAUGCUCUAAUUUUCAGAGCAUAUUUUCUCCGUGUCCACUCUUACAGAAGAUGUUCUCUGCUUUCGUGUGCUCUUGCCGUCCUCCUUUUUGCGUGUGAACAGCUCCGUUCCUUAAACUCCCCGCACCGUGCGUUGGGGAGUUGGUGCCCCUGCGUCUUGGAAGUGGAAACCCCAAAGAGUGUGUCCAGUGACUGAGGA